rnacentral:lncRNA from 1 species
GGUUUUUCGUGGGUCUGUCCUGGUUUGCACUGAAGGUGCCCUGACCCAGGAAACUUCUCUGUCUGGAGCAAAACAGGACAGUUGGGCACCCUGUGGUGCCCAGGGAGGUGGAGACGUGAUCCCGGGCUCAGGCUUCUCUCAAGUUAGAAUCUCCUUUUGUGUCUGCUGUCUGCCUGAGAAAAUGCUCUUGCGGGAGACCAGUGAAGGGAAGGGACCCCCUCUGAGAGCUGAGAAGGCCCUGUUCAUCCCAGGGGUAAGUCAGGCUGCAGAGGGUGAGAACUGAGGCUUGAGGAGCCCCAGGGCCACCGUGGGACACACUGUUGCUGCGGCUCCCUCUGCCGUAGGUUCUGUGUUAGCUCCUUCUACCUUGCCCCCAGCCUUUUUUUUUUUUUUUUUUUUUAAUUUGUGGUUCUGGGAUCACACCAGGGCCUCCCACGUGCUCUGCAAAUGCUGUAGCCCUGAGCCACCAGCAGUAGCGCCACCAGCCCAGCUGCCAGUUAUCCGGUGCUUGCUGGGGUCAGCGCUCUGCGAACAUUGUGACAUAUUUUGCACAGCAGCUGGUGAUUCACAUUUUAAAACUGAAGCUCUGAGAGGUUAAGUGACUUGCCUGGAGCUCAUAGCUCCGAUCAGCACUGGAGCUGGGUUCGAAUCGAAGCCAGCUUCGCGUGAAGUCGAGGCCUUCAUCCACUCUCCAGUCUCUGAGUCGUCCUGGAAAACAGUCUGGGUCUCUGUCUCAGGGUGGGGGCAGCUUCCUUGCUUGCCCUAGGACAUGGCGCUUCAGUGACUGAUGCUCUUUCUCUACCCAUAGAGUCCUAUGACUCAUGAUCUGUGAGGGUGAAACCCGUGAGUCAGAUCCCGUUACCAUAACAAAACACUUGAGAUAAUCAAUUUACAAAGAGGACAGCUUUAUAUUGGCUCAUAGUUUGGGAGGUUUCAGGUACAAGUCAGUUGACCUGUUGAUUUGGAAUUGAGGUGAGAUAGUCUGUCGUGGUACCAGCUCGGGGCCAAGAAAGACCUCACUUCUGACCAGAAGUGAGAAAGAAGAGCAAGAAUGUGGGGUCCUCACAUCCCCUUCCAGGACACAUUCCCAGGACUGAAAGGUCUUCCACUAAGCCCCACCUUUUAAAGGUGCCAUCCUCAAUAGCACCGAGCUGGGGACUAAGCCUUUAACAUACAGGUCACUGGGGGACAUUGAUACAAACCAAUGUCUCAGUGACCAAACACAAUUUUGAUGUACUUGUUUAAGAAGUACAAAAAGAUGGAGAUUUGGGCCUGCUUUUUCUUCUGAUAGAUGCAGGGUCUCUGGUUUAAUUCCUAGGUCCUUGAUCCACUUUGAGUUGAGUUUUGUGCAUGGUGAGAGAGGGGUUUAGUUUCAUUUUGUUGCGUAUGGGUUUCCAGUUUUCCCAGCACCAUUUGUUGAAAAGGCUGUCUUUUCUCCAAUGUACGUUUUUGGUACCUUUGUCUAAUAUAAGAUAUCUGUAAUUAUGUGGGUUAGUCUCUGGGUCCUCUAUUCUGUACCAUUGGUCUACAGUCUAUUUUGUUGCCAAUACCAUGCUUUUGUCACUAUUGCUCUGUUGUAUAGUUUAAGGUCUGGUAUUGUGAUGCCACCUACUUCACUCUUCUUGCUAAGGAUUGCUUUUGUCAUUCGGUGUCUCUUAUUUUUCCAGAUGAAUUUCAUGAUUGCUUUGUCUAUUUCUAUGAGGAAUGUCAUUGGGAUAUGAUUGGAAUUGCGUUAAAUCUGUUUAGUGCUUUUGGAAUUAUGGUCUAUAUGUACAAUAUGAAUUGUAAUGCAUUUUGCUGUCAUAUAUGACAAAUUAAAAUUUGAAAAAAUGAAAAAAAUAAAGAAAUAAAAAAAAGGCAGGAGAUGUGGCUCAGUGGUUAAGCACCUGUGGGUUCAAAACAUAAAGUAAAAUAAAAUAUUUUUUUAAAAAGUACAAAAAGAGGGCUGGGGUGUGGCUCAGCAGGAGAGUACUCACUUAGCACCUGUGAGGCACUGGGUUCAAUCCUCAACACCACAUAAAAUAAAUAAAUAAAUAAUAAAGGUAUUGUGUCCAACUACAACUAAAUAUAUGUGUGUGUGUGUAUUCUUUUUAAAAAGUACAAAAAGAAUAGACCUGAGCAGCUGGGCAUAGUUGUGCACACCUCUAAUCCUAGUGACUCUAGAGCCUGAGGCAAGAGGAUCAUAAGUUCAGGAGGAUCAUAAGUUCGAGGACAGCCUUGGUGUUAUGGUUCGGAUGUGAGGUGUCCCCCAAAAGCUCAUGUGUGAGACAAUUCAAGAAGGUUUAGAGGAGAAAUGAUUGGGUUGUGAGAGCCUUAACCCAAUCAGUGAGUUAAUCAGUCCCCUGGUGGGAUUAGCCUGGUGGUGACUGAAGGCAGGUGGGUGUGGCUGGAGGAGGUAGGGCACUGGGGGUGCACCUUGGGGGGAUAUAUUUUGUAUCUGGCAAAGGGAGACUUCUCUUUCUGCUUCCUGAUUAUCAUGUCAGCCACUCCCCUCUGCCAUGCUCUUGCACCCAUGGUGGUCAGCCUCACCUGAAGUCCCACGGAAUGGAGCCAGGCUGCCUAUGGACUGAAACCUCUGAAACCGUGAGCCCCCAAUAAACUUUUUCUCCCCUAAAAUUGUUCUUGUCAGGUCUUUUGAGUCACAGCAGCAAAAAAAGUUGACUAAAACACUUGGCAACUUAGUGAAACUCUGUCUCCCCCAAAAGAGGGGACUUGCUUGAGAUGCAGCUAAGGGUAGAGAACAUCCCUGGGUUCAACCCCCAGUACUUCAAAAAUAAAUAAACAAACAAACAUGAAUAAAUACUAUUCUUUGUUAAAAGGUCAGCACCAAAACAAGUUAUUUCAAAAAAUAUUGUUGCUUGAUAUAAUUAAAGGAUCACGAGUAAGUUGGUCUAGCUUUUCAUACAGUAAAAACACGGAAGUGAUUACAUUACUGAUUUGAAGAGUGAAUUCAGUCACUUAAAAUUCAAAUUGAACCAACAGUUCAGCAACAUAUUAAUAAUUUAUCUAUCCAACUUCAUCAGUGUUGUGAAAUGAGGGGAUGAGAAAGACUUUAAGUUUGCAUGGGGCCUUACAAAUCUAAGUUCUAAGUACUUGUUUGACAUUUUGAUCUUUAUCUAAGGUCAGUGGACUAAAGAAAAAUCUGGACUCAAAGACUAUGAUAAUGAUUUUUUCUCAGCAUCCAAACUUGUGAAAUGGUGAGCCUUUCCCUGGGAAUGGGAAUGGAGGAGAACAGUGUCCUUGAUGAACAGCAGUCCCUUGCCUGUCUCUAGCAGUGGGCUUCUGGGCCAGCCCUUGGUACUAACUGAGGGUUACUAGGAUGAACAGCCUUGCUAACAAAUCACAGCCAACUGUGGUCAUCUUAUAUUAGGAGACCUUUCCUUAAGUCACUUGGGGACAGUUUGGCUUAAAGACUGCUUCAAUCUUCCAAGUGAUUUUGCAAAGAAUGUUAUUAAUUUGCAGAAGUGACUAAUGACAGAAGUAUCACCUUUUAAAAGUAGAUCACAGAAAAUGAAUAGAAAUUCUUUUUUUAAAAAACUGUAUUUAUUUUAAUUAGGUAUUCAUGACAGCAGAAUGCAUUUUGAUUCAUUGUACACAAUUGCAGCACAACUUUUCAUUUCUCUGUACACGAUGUAGCAUCAUCCUGUAUGCAAAGGUGGGUGGGGAGGGGAGCUGGUACGGGGGCAAGAAAGAAUGGAAAUUCUUUUUCUUUUUCUUUUAUUUGUUUAGUUGUAGUUGACACAAUACCUUUAUUUUAUUUAUUUAUUUUUAUGUGGCAUUGAGGAUUGAACCCAGGGCCUCGAAUGUUCUAGGCGAGCACUCUACCACUGAGUCACAACCCCAGCCCAGAAUGGAAAUUCUUAAUCCAUUCUUUUUUUUUCUUUCUUUCUUUUUUAGUUUUCGGCGGUCACAACAUCUUUGUUUGUAUGUGGUGCUGAGGAUCGAACCCAGGCCGCACGCAUGCCAGGCGAGCGCACUACCGCUUUGAGCCACAUCCCAGCCCUAGAGACAGCGUCUUGCUGAGUUGCUUAGGACUGAGGCUGGCCUUGAACUUGUGAUCCUCUUUCCUCAGCCUCCCAAGCUGCUGGGAUUAUAGGCAUGUGCCACUGCCCCUGGAUUCUUAAUCAAUUCUUUGAACUACAUGUUUAGUAUUUGUAAAUGUCGUAUGUCAUAAAUUCUUUAUUGGUUUUAUUUUUAAUAUGAGGCAUUGGUUUUAUAUUUACUAUGGGAAAUUUAACGUAAUGUACCUAAAUUACUAUUUCUUUCAACAAUUAUUUAUUUAGAAGCUUUGAUGUACCAGGACUGUGUCAGCCUAAAGAAGAUAUAAAAAUGAGUGGGACAGGCUGAAUAGUUUUGCUAAGGAGUUUGUAGUCAAUGGGAUGAGAGUGGGUGAGGUACACAAUGACAAGCAAUUGUGAAUAAAAGUGAUGCAUUAGUGUUCUCCAGAGAAACAAACCAAUAGGAGGUGUGUGUUGGCGGGGGUGGGGGGUGGGGGAUUGGGUUUAAGGAAUUGGCUCAUGUGGUUUAUGGUGGCUGACACGUCCAAAAUUUGCAGGUAGGCCAGCAGGCUGAAGAUCCACAGAAGGACCAAUGUUAUAGUUAAAGUCUAAAGAACACUAGGCCAGAGAAUUUCUUUUUAGGAAAAUUCAGUCUUUUUUUUCUGUUAAGAUCAGACUGGACUGGGCAUGGUGACACACUCCUAUAACCACAGCAGUUUGGGAGGCUGGGGCAGGAGGAUUCAAAGUUCAAAGCCAGGCUCAGCAAUUUAAUGUGCCCUAAGCACAUUAGCAAGACCCGGUCUCAAAAUAAAAAGUACAAAGGGCUGGGAUGUAGCUCAGUGGUUUAGCACUCCUGGGUUCAAUCCCUGAUUUAAAAAAAAAAAAAAACACUUUCCAGAAUAAAUUUUUGGUUUUUGGCACCAGGGAUCGAACUCAGGAGUGCUUAAACACUGUGCCAAGCCACAUCCCCAGCCCUUUUUAUUUUUUGUUUUGUGACAGAGUCUUGCUAAGUUGCUUAGGGGCGGGCUAAGUUGCUGGGGCUGGCCUUGAAUUUAUGAUCCUCCUGCCUCAGCCUCUGGAGCCUUUGGGAUCAUAGAUGUGCACCACUACGCCCAUCCCGAAUGAUGUUUGAUCAAAUAUCUGGAGGCCAUAGCCCAUCCAGGUGGUUAUAUAAAAUUAACCAUCACAAGUUGAAAACUUAUCAACUAAGCUCAAAGGAAAGCCCCUAACCCAGACCUUCAUGGGGGGACGGUGGUCAGGGAGAGGAACGGUAAUAAUUUAAUAGGCAUUAGGUACACACAUGUGGGCGUGGGCGUGCAGGUACCGCAGGGCGUGGGAGGGCAGCACUGGGGGAAGGAAGACAGUUGCUUUUCACAUACAGGGGGGUGAAGAAUUUCCAACAGAGGAAGCAUCCUGUGUAAGACCCCCAGAAAGCCAAAGCGACUUAGUGAGAGAGAAGAGGGAGAAAGGGAUAAAAAGCAAAAUAUCAAAGUAAUCAGAAACCAGACUCCAAAAAGUCUGCUACUGAGUCUGUAUUUAAUGCCGAGGGUGAGAGGAGCCUUUGGGUAGACUGAAAGUGGGCUUCAUGUAGGCUGGGUAGAAUUUGUGAGUUCUGUUGCUAUCACACAGGAAAUGCAGCUUGGGUUGUACUGUUCCUUGGUGGGCUUUUUCCCAGCAGGUAUUAACCAAGCCUGGCCUGGGGCAUUGGCGCUGGGUGAGCGGCAGGAGACACCGGGCUCCUGGGUGGGGUGCUUAUUCCUGUGCAGUGAGGAGAAUGUUUGCUGACACCAGCACCGCUCUGGUCACAGGCUCUGCUGGUAGUGAGAGGACUGGUAAGGUGGAUUGCUGCCAUCAAGGUGGACAGGAGAAAGCAGGGCCGUCUUCCUCAUGUCCUUUUUUACAUCUGCAGAAACCUCCUCUCUACCAUUUUAAGAAACUGAAGAGUUAUUCUUGCGACGUCAGGUUUCUGAAGCACCUCCGUAGGUCUCAGACACUAGCACAGUAGCACAGAGCCUGGCUGGCACCUUUAGAACCUGAACCAUGCAACCUGAGAAUCAGUGUUCCUGUCUCAGGGGUGGGACACUGCUGUGCUGCCCAGGUAGAUGUCCCUCUGUGAAGGAGUGGCUGAUGUUACUAGGAAUGGCCCUCAGCUGGGGCACCUCUGGAGACAGCCUCAGCCAAAGACAGCUGCCCAAGGUCACGGCUGCCCCCAGAGGCAUGCUCUGAACAGAGACUGAUCUGUGUGGGAGUGAGGCUGCCGGGCUCUCACCCCUCUGAGGAGCAUUCUGAAGGGUUUCAGAGCUCCACGUGGGGUGGGCCGAGACCUUCCUGGGACAGCAUCCCAUACCCGCUUCUGUGUCACACUGCUUCCCUCUCUCCCCUUGGACCUCAGAGCACUGUGAAGUUCCCUCUGUCCCACGGGGAACUCAGCCUGCAGUGCUGUCCUCUACCCAGGUGACUCCAGACAGCAAUCUGGAAAACCCUGGCUCCGCGCUCCCUGAGCAGCCUCCGGAUCCCGUAGCUUCUCAAGUCCUUGUUUCCAUUCCAGUUGCCACCGUUUUACUCCAGGUCACCAAGGUCUGUCAUCCAAGUUAACUGUUUGGGUGGCUGCUUGAUUGUCUUCCUGUCUUUACCUUUAUCUCUAUCAAAGUGACUUUCUUCUUAUAAUUUUAUCAUGUUUAAUGGACUUAUUGAGGUAUAUUUGAUGUUCCAUAGCCUGCAUAGGUUUAAAGUGUACAACUUGUUGAUAGAUUUUGAGUUGAUAGAUUUUGAAUUGAUAGACAGAGUUGAUAGAUUUUGACACAUGUGUACAACUGUGAAACUAACACAAUCAAAAUGAUAAUAUCCAUCAGUAAGUGUAUUAUUUUUAAAUUAUAGAAGCUGUGCUCUCUCUCUCUCUCUCUCUCUCACACACACACACACACACACACACAAAACACACAUACACACAAACACGAAGUAAAAACGGAAAUUCUCUCUACCCUCCCUUAGGAUAAUCUUAAAAUUCAAACCCAGAAAGGUUCUUUCUUGCCUUAAAUGUAUUUCAGUUACCUCUAAAUAACGACAGGGAUUUUUGCUCAAAGGCCUGGAGUGUCUGCCAGCCUGGGUGUGGGUGAACCCUAAAACCAAAUCAUGUGAGGCCUUGUCUGCGGCCUCUGAGCCUUUGCUGUGCUCUUGGCUUUGCCUCUCUUGCUCUUUUCCACCUUGAAUUUUCUUCAGGACUGAUAUUUGAUUGGCCUAUUUUCAUUUAAUACUUCUUUAAUAUUAAUAUUUUAAUAAUUGAUAGCUAAUGUUUAUCGACUGCUUGCUUUUUCUUUGUUCUGUGCUUUCUAUACGCCAUAUCUCUUAACCCCCAUAAAAUCUCUAAUUGGUAUGGCGAUCCUUAUGUUGAAGGAUGCUGGCUUUACAAUACAACUACCCCCUGAAUCCUUAGACUUAGCUGACUGUUUUCUUUCACCAAAACUUUGGUCAAGUUCUGCGUCCACUGCUUGAAUAGACUUGACCUUGGGCUUCCCUCUCUGCCUUGUAAAAUCAAUUUGAGCAAGAAUCCCUCUCAGUUUAGCAAAGCCCCUCCCUCUUGGAUAUAUGACCACCAUAUCUUGUCCCCUUGGCCUGCCUUCGGCAGCUCAGGGGUCCUAUCAAGGUGGUUCAGCAGAAAUCCCCCUUUCCUUGAUGUUUCCUCUCGGUCAGUUUCCAUCUGCUGCCCACCCGCCCUUGAUCCUUGGUUAGGAGUCUGCACUCUUCCCUGUUGGCAUCUGAAUGGAGUCUAGUCUCUCUCCCCCAUGCUGUUUGACAUUGCAAGGGUCCCGUACCUACCCCAUGGCCUGCCUCACCAUCUUUAACAAGUAUUCAGGGAAUUUCCUCCUUGACAGGCCCAAGUGAGUUGCUGGUGACCGGCUUCCAUCUGAAACGUCCUGCGGCUCUCCUCCAGCGUGCUCGUUGCUCUCACUAUUGGGUUUCUGACUUCCCAGUGAAAGCCGAAGCUGUGUGUGCUCUCUGUCUGUGCGAGCACCUGGGGCAUGGCCAGUGUGUGUCACAUACUCCCUGAGUGGAUGCUGAAUGGAGGGACAGUAACCUCCACUGCACCUGCAGAGUAGGUUAGUGGCAAUAGUUGGGAUUCCCAAGUCAGAAAGAAAGCUCGAAUCCAAAUUCUGCCACCUUUAGUUGGCUCUCACUUCUGAGCCUCCUUUUCUUCAUUUCCUCCUUACAGAAUUGCUUUGAAGAGUGAUGAAGUGAUUUGGACCAAAUUCCUAGCACAGGAUAGGGUACAUCUUUUUGUUUUUCCGUCAUUGAAUGUAAAGUAUAUCAAACCUUGUUAUCAUUUUUAAUCCUUUACUCUGCCUAUAACAAAGUAUGUAGUAGUCAAAUAAGUAGUGACUAUUGUUUUAAUUAGAACAUUUUUUAUUAACAAGUAUUAAUUGCACAUCUGAAGGUUGCUCAGUGUGAUAUUUCAACAUGUGGAUACAGCACGUACUGGUCAAUUAGUGGAAUGCUCAUCUCCCUCUCUUGGUUGUUUAUUUGCAGCCUCUGAGCUCUUUUCUUCUAGGUCAUUCAUAAAAUACCUAAUCAGUUAUUGUGAGCUACAAUCAUCUUGUCACCGCGUGGGGGUCCAAGCAGCUCUCCAACCGCGGAGGAGGCCUCUACUGUGACCUUCCAGGUUCUUGUCCAUGUUACAGAAAGGAAUCUAAGAUGCAUUAGGCACGAGGGGCAAAGCAGGAGAUUUCUUAAUAAAGGAACAGCACACACUUGAGAAUGGAGUGCAGGUGAUCUUGAGAGGAAGUGGGUCGCCUCACCUUGGUCUGGGGCUGGACGCCCAUACAGGGAGCAGCAGCAGGGGGCUGCGCUGGAGUGAGGCGGGCAGCGUUAUGCAAUUCCGCGCCGUUUUCCUUGCACCUGCCCAUGCCCUGUCUGUGUGGAUCGGGCUGCUUCCUAGGUUGCGUGCCCAUCGACGCCUUCAGUCUCCACCCAGGGCUGAGUCUUACUGUUGUAAUGAGGCUAGGGCAUUUCCCUGUCACCAAAGUCGUCACCAGACCCUGUGGCAGUGUAUUCUCCAGAUGCCUUGUGGUCAUCUUAUGGCUCUCUUGUUUCUUCAGCCAAUUGACAAGCUGUAGGCAAGAUGCAAGGACAUGGCUGGUUGCUCACCUUUGUUCUGCAUUCUCAUGGCUUGUGGGCACUUCUCUCUUGAGACUCCUUGCCCUCCUUGUACCCCUGAGUUCCUACCUCAAUCUGUUUGCCUUCAGAACCCCACUACUUGUUCCUUCUAACUGUGUCUUGGUACCCAUCAUCUGACCUCCUUUCAUGCCCCAGAACCCUUCCCAGCUUCUGGUGGCCACUAGUCUCUGUUCCACUCAACUUUCUUUUGCUUCCACAUGAGAGAGAACAUGCAGUAUUUACCUUUCUGUUUCUGGCUCGGUUUAUUUAACACAGUGUCUUCUAGGUCCAUCCUUUUUGCUGCAAAGGACAGGAUUUCAUUCUUUUUUAAAAUAUAUUUUUAAUUUUUUUGCAGGAUUUCUUUCUUAUGGAUGAACGACAUUACAUUGUGUCGGGGGCGCCUAGGUCAAUUGCACAUCUUGGCCAACGUGAACAGUGCCUCGGCAACCACGGAAGUGCAGGAGUCUGAUGUGCUGCUUUCGUUUGCUUUGGUCAUACACCUAGAAGUAGGACAGCUGAAUCAUCUGGUAGGUCUAUUUUUACUUUAGUUACUACUGUUAAAAGAUAAACAGGCACAUUAAAAUUUUAACAAGUUUAUUUGAGCAUUCAGUGAUUCGUGAGUCAGGCGGCACCAGACUGCAGUCGGCCCCGCGCUCCACAGAGGUGCACCAGGGGAAAACUUCCAUAAGCCAUUCGAGCAAGCAAAACCAAGAAAAUGUUCCAUUAACGUGGAAGAGGUUGCUUGGCAAAGUCUCUAGCUAGAGUCAGUGUCUUCCAAUCAACUGAGCUUAAGUUUCAUUUUCUGAGCUUAAUUUCAUUUUCCUAUUUAUGUUGAAUUGGGCUUCAGCUUGCUUAUGCAGGAACUCAAGGUGCUGGAGCUUUCUCAGCUAAUGGCCUUCUGAUUAAUUAUUUUAACAGUGUAUUAGUGCCAGGAAACAUUUCUGUGGGGCUAGGGCUAUGAUUUCAGUCUCUUUACAAGUCAAGGGAUAAACAAGGCGAAGUUCUUUUAAUCACCAUUUCUCGGCAGAGUGGGGUCAUUCCUGGCUGCUCAGGGGUGGAGUGGAGCCAGGAUCCACCCUGCCUAGAUGACAUGAGGUUCGUGCUGCUUAGAAGCUACAUAGAUCCACAGACCUGGGGCAGGGUCUGGGUUGAUUGAGUUGUAGUUUCCAGUUUUGCCUCAUUUGUUAUAUGAAUGAUCAAACAUACAUGUAGAAUCUCUCUACCUAGAGAGCUGUUCCUAGUCUGCCCGGCAGGGAUCCUCUACCUUGCUGAAAGAAAUGGCAUCUGAGGAACUGUUAAGAUGAUGGGUUCUGCCUCUCUCCACUAUGGAGGGAUGUGCCUUUAUUUGUCAGCUCUGAUAAAUAAACUGUCUUGUGUGUCUCUGGGAAAAAAGAAAAAAUGGGUUCAUUGACCCCACCCUCCAGAAUUUCUGAUAAGGGUGUGGGGUGGUCCUUAGAUCUUGUCUUUUCAAACCAUUGUUCAUGAGAUUCCGAUGUGCAAACAUUCCAAAGGUACUGUCCCUGUUCACAAAGGUGACAUAGGGAAAGCUGAGUCAAUCUCUUAUUUGUUUGAUUUUUGCCUGUGGAUAAUAUGAAUUUAUUUGCCCAUGUCAUCUGCUUGCAAAAUGCAGCGUAAGGCUCUGUGGAGAGGGCCGAGUGAUGCUUUAUGCAUGCUGAUGCUUUGGGAAUGAAGUUGGGCUGGUAGAAAAAUUAGCGUGCUGAUGGAAUGUGCUUGUUUACAAGCUGGUGUGUGAUCAGACACAGACAGGAUAGCAUAAACUACUUGGGCCUGCGGAAUUCCAGGCCAGGAAAGGGUGAAAUAUAAUUGCUUGGCAGAAGCUGGGUGUGGUGGUGCACGCCUGUAAUCCCAGUGGCUCCUGAGCCUGAGGCAGAAGGAUUGUGAGUUCAAAGUCAGCCUCAGCAAAAGCGAGGUUCUAAGCAACUCAGUGAGACCCUGUCUUUAAAUAAAAUACAAAUAGGGCUGGGUAUGUGGCUCAGUGGUUAAGUGCCCUUGAUCUCAAUCCCUGGUACUCAAAAAAAUAAAAAAAAUUGCCUGGUAGAUAAUUUAUCAAGCAUACUGUUCAUCCAGAACUAUCAUUCCUUUACUGAUGUGCAAAGAGAAAGUGUUGAUAGGUACCUCACCUAUCCUGUGGGCAGUCCUCUGGCUUCCAUGGAAACUGGGAAUGGUGGUGGAAUAGGAACAGUGGGUGUCCCCUCUCACACAAUUUGGAGAUGUGUGAUAAUAAGUAUUCAUUGCAUUUUGUGUAAUUAGGAAUUUAAUGGUUGCUAUGUUGGAAAAUGUUGGUUCAAACAUUAAAUCCAAUCAGCAAAUAUUAUUGAGUAUCUGUUGUAUAUAGAAGAGUCUUUCUAAACAUUCAGUGGAAAUAAAAACAUUGGUACUUUACUUUGAUUCAAAGCACAUUCUAAAACUAAAUGUUUUACAAGCUAAAGUUUUCUCAAAUUUCUGUUGUUAGUGUCUGCUUUUAGUACGGAGGGUACUGUGACCUGUUGCUCAACUGUCAAUUAUGCUUUGCAACUUUUGCAUUUAUAGGUGUGAGGUUUGUUUUUUGAGGGUGCUCUGUACUGUGGCAGAUGACUGAGUCAUAGGAUAGGCUGUUAACACAGGACUUUAUGGGUGAUUAAGCAUCUCAUGGAAAGGCAUGGAUUCAGGUUCUGAUGCCCCCGCCCCCUUAGUUUUAAAUUUAUCCUGUCAAUUUUUUUUUCAUGACUGAUAUGAAACAUUUUUCUCUGAAAAAAAUUAUUAAACCGAUGCUGAGUUAAAAUAUCAGGAAGAAACAGAUAACUAAAAAUAACAGGAUAUGAUCAACAGUUUUGAUUCAUAGCCUAUUUUUAUCCUUUUCUGGAAUUCGAGCACCCAGAUUUGUAUUUGCAGAGAAAUACCAAUAAAAAUGAGAUUGCAUUUUUCAGUUUUGAAAUUCUUUUCUUUUUAAUUGUUAGCCUUUUUGAAAGAUGGUCACUUGAGAACUUGAUCCAUUAGUGUCUAUUCUCAUGAAGUCAUUUCUCCUGGCUAGUCAUUGCGGUACUUAAAGGCUUGUGGUUAAUCUUACGGGCAUCAAUGUUACUGUUGUUAAUGUUUAAAAAGGCUCCAUCUCUUACAGCUACUUGUGGAAAUAUUUAUAGGCAAAAUGAUACAAUGUCUUGAUUUCACUUUUAAGAUAUUCUAUCAAAUCAAACCAAAGCAAAAGGAAAAAAAUGAGGGGAAACACAGUAAUAAGAUGGCAGAAUGUUGGUAAUUAUUUAGAGUUGGCCGUGGGUACAUGGGAUUCAUUGAAUUCUCUCAUUUCAUGAAUUUUUAAAAAUUUUCACAGCAAAAUGUUUUUAAAAGGUUUUUCUCCAUGACACACUCUAUACCAUAUUUUUGCUUCACCCACUUUUAGAAAUCUUUCUUUGGAUGAACCUUCUGUCUUGGUUGGCUCUGCCUGCUAAAAUACAAUACUGAAGUGGGGCUGAAACCACAGACAGUUGUUUCUCACAGUUCUGGAGGCCAGAAGCACAAGAUCAGGGUGCCGGCCAAUUCAGUUCCUGGCGAGAGCUUCUUCCCCAGCUUGGAGAGAGACAGAGACAGAGAGACGCAUCACAUCUCUUCUUAUAAGGCACUAAUUGAAUCAGGGAGGCCCCCAUGACCUCAUGUAAACCUAACCACCUCCUGGCAGUCCACUUCCCAAUACCAUCACAUGUGAAUGGUGGUGGGAGCAAAUACUUGGUGCACAAUGCCUGUUGCAGAUGCACAUCUAGAAUGUACCUAGUGAAAAUACCCCCUUGUUCUUUGUUCAAACAUAAAUUUAGCACACUUUGUUGAAUGUGUGCUUAGCAUGUGGUGAGGUUGCUGCUGCUACAAAGGGAGCCCAAGAUCUGCUUCCUAUGAGCAAGUCACUUUCCUAAGAUUUUUUUAUUAUUAUUAUUAUUUUGCAGUGCUGAGGAUGGAAUCCUGGGUCUUAUGCAUGCCAGGCAAGUGCCUUCCUACUGAGCUACACCCCCAGCCCCUGGUCUUCAGUUUCCUUGUUUGAAAAUGAGCAGACUGGACUCAGUGACCUCAACAGUCUUCUUCCAGUUCCAUGCUUCUUCAGUCAUGCUCCUUGGGAAUAGGACUGUAUCGCUGGUGAGAGUGUGGACUGCUGCAGCCACUUUGGAGAACAACCUGGCACUAUGUAUUUAAUCUAAGGACACAGAAAGGAAUGUUUGCUUUUUUUUUUUUUUUGACAUAGUGAUGAGGACCUGUAUCGACUGUGUUCAUCACUGGAUGCUUGUUUGAGUGAGUGGCAGGAUGUGGUGGAUGCACACUCUUUGCUACUAUCUAGCACUUGCAAUAGCAGAUUACAUAUACUUGCAGCCUAUAGAUACAUUUUAAGACCGUAAAUGUCUAGUAAAAGAAGAAAGGAAUAUAUGACACUCUACCAUUUAAUUAAAAAUAGAUGCACCUUUCAUAAUAACACAUCCCAACAAAAAUAUCAUUAAACACGAGUGUGUAUAGUAGGAGUUAAAUAGAAUGGGAGAGAAUAUAAAGAUGAAAAGGGAAUAACCAAGAGGCGAGGUUUGUAUGGACAAAAAAUGAUAAUGUCAUUUAGUAAAAUGCCUUUAAAGUUUAUCCAUGCUGUUGCCUGUAUCAGAAUGGCCUUUCUUUUUAAGGCUGAAUAAGGUUCCAUUAUAUGUACAAGCCACAUUUUGUGUAUCCGUUUGUGUGUUUCUGGCUACUUGAGUUGUUCCCAUUUUGGGGGGUAUUGUGGAUCAUGCUGCUGUGAGCAUUGGUGUGCAAACCAGCUGUUUUUGUGUUUCAUUGUUGUAUUCCUUAUUGCAUUGCAUGAUUUUCAGGAGGUUCAGCAUGUAUUUUUACGCUGCUGUGAUCAUUUCAGUAAGUUCUUUUGAAGCUGCAUUUUAAAAUAAUUAGAUGAUUCUCAUAAUCCAGUAAGUCUAGAAAUCACUUCCUAGAUUGGGGGCAGGAGAAUCAUUGAUGACAGGAAGAAGUGUCGUGCUUAUAAGCAGGUUAGGUACAUAAACGCCAGUUCUGUGAGCCCUCAUCUGUCAGAGCUGCUCCUGUGAACCACUGUGCAGGCAGACGGAGGAUGAAAGCCAUAGGCUAAGAUUGUCUAAUUCCCUUUCCAGGCCAACCGUAUCUUAGGACAAUCCCUCUUGGGCUCUGCUGUCAAGAAUGACAAGCUUGGCUUAGCACUUCUGUGCACCUGCUGAUGCACAAGUGAGGGAAACUCAUUCCAUGUCAGAGUAGCUAUUGGUUCUGGGUAACAUUGUAACUAAUGUAAAAACUUCCAAGAGUCAUCAGUUAGUCCAAACUCAUUUCUGGUGAAUGUUUUAGAUUUGUAUCAAGGGAAUAAUGUGAGAACUCCAAGGAAUAAGUUUGAUGACAUAAGCAAACCAGAGUCCUGGGAAUAUCUUUCAGGCAAUUUGCUAGUGAACUGCUGCUUAAUCGCCUUAAAACAAUGGUAUAGUGAGUCAGGGAAAAGCAGCACAAGAUUUUAUGAUGAGAGAUAUUCCCAGGUGGCUUUAUGGAGGGAGGAAAAAAAUGUACAGACAGUUGAUGAUGCAUUUUUAUUCAUUCAGUAACAUUUAUUGAGCUGCUAUUAUGUUCUAGACAGUGUAUAAAGCAGAGGAAAAGACAGAUGUGUCCCUGAGGUGUGAGCUUUCAUUCUGGUGUCGGAAACAGAUAAUAAAGAAGUAGACAAAUAUAGAUGUAUUUUCAGAGAGCAGAUUACAAAGCACCAGCUAGACCUGUUUAAACACUGUUGCCUCUCCAUACCUAUAGUUUCUGCAACCAUGGGUUCAGCCAAUUUGGAAUUGAAAAUAUUGGGAGAAAAAAAUUGCAUUAGUAUGGCACACAUACAGAAUUUUAAAAUUUUCAUUGUUCCUUAAACAAAACUCUAUAAUGGCUAUUUAUACAGCAUUUGCAAAAUGCUGAAUAUCAUAAAAAGUUUGGUGUUGAUUUAAAGUAUAUGGGAGGAUAUGCGUGGGUUAUAUGGGAAGAUGGCACCAUUUUAUAUAAGGGACUUGACCAUCUGCAGAUUGUGGUAUUCUUUGGGGGGGGGUGUCCUGGAACCAAUCCCCCAAGGGUAGCAAGAGAUGACAGUACUUAUUGGUGAUUGUUUAAAUUCUAUGUAAGAUUUUUGUAGAUUGUUAGGGUUAAUGGUUUAUUUCAGCUAUGCUCUUAUCUAUAAAAAUAUAAUUUACAAGCAAAUCUUCCUGGAAUUCAAUUACUUUGCAAAGUAAUGUCCACCUCUUUCCUAAAAACUGAGAUAUGCGAGUACGCAUGGGGAAGGAGAACUGAUGGUACAGUUGACGAUAUAGUUAAGUGUAAACUGAUGAGCAGAAGUCCUCCGGGCCAGGCCUGUUCAUGUGAGAGCAAACUAUUCCAUGGGCUUGUGGUCUGGAAGCUUGGGAGAUUUUGUAUCCCCACACAGGUUUCAGACUUCACCCACAAUUUCUUAAAUUGGCUUACCCACUUGUUCACUUUCUUUAGUGUUUCAUCCCUCAGAAGGGAGUGGGAGGUGAGAACACGAGGAGGGUGUGGUGUGCUUCCAGUGGGCUGCUGGUGCAUCAAGAUGGUGUGCUGGAACCAUCGGGCGGUGCUUGCAUCUGACAGGGAAGCCAGGAGUUGAUUUUAUUUAUUGUUCGGGAAAAUGUACUAAGGAAGAUUCCUGGAAGUGAGAGGUCCUUCAUUAUCUGCCCCAUUCAGUGGAAACCACGGGGCUGUUCUGGGAUCGACAGCCCCCUCCAGGUGUGAAACAUGGCUCCUUCUGGCUGUGUUCCUUUCAUUGGGUGAUUCUGAUGACAAGAUAUGGGAAGGUUUUAUUCCCUAAAUAUUCACUAAAAGAAGGAUCAACCCCAGAAAAGACAGUGCUGCCUAGAAUUUUUAAAAAGGAUUCAGCUUUACAGAGGAAAAGCAUAGAAAAUUGAAUAGUAGAAAUCAAAGAGUGUUGGUGGAAAUGAACUCACUCGUUCAGGCCAGAUAUCAUCCAGUAUGAACUAUCCAUUCUCAGAUGAUAUUUCUCCUAAAUGAUGUAUAAACUUAAAUGGAUUCUUCUUUUGACCAUAUCAAUGGAAAAUUUUAAAAGUAAGUGUGUGUGUGUGUGUGUGUGUGGCUUGCAAGCUUAUACAUUAUUAUUAUUAUUUUUUUUGGCAGUGCUGGGAAUUGAACCCAGGGCCUUGCACAUGCUAGGCUAGGCAAGUGCUUUACCACUGAGCCACACCCCCAAUUCCCUUACUCCCUUUUAAAAAAACUUUUUAUCAUUCAAACAUUAAUUUAUUUGAAGGGGCAUGAAGAAACAUUUACAAAAUGGGAACUUAGAUCCAAAAUUUACACAAUUUAAAAAAUUAACUAGUUUUUUAUGAUAGACAAAAAGGAUUGCAUUACCCUAUAAAAUAAUUCAUAAAUAACCCAUGCUAAUUUCCUCAAGUCGAGACCCCUAAGCACACAUGCAAAAACCCCUUUGCUAUAUAAUGUGAUACAGAGGUUCCUUAAUUUACAUUGGCAUUACAUCCAAAUGAACCCAUUAUGUUGAAGACAUCUUAAAUNUUUUUUUUGACAUAGUGAUGAGGACCUGUAUCGACUGUGUUCAUCACUGGAUGCUUGUUUGAGUGAGUGGCAGGAUGUGGUGGAUGCACACUCUUUGCUACUAUCUAGCACUUGCAAUAGCAGAUUACAUAUACUUGCAGCCUAUAGAUACAUUUUAAGACCGUAAAUGUCUAGUAAAAGAAGAAAGGAAUAUAUGACACUCUACCAUUUAAUUAAAAAUAGAUGCACCUUUCAUAAUAACACAUCCCAACAAAAAUAUCAUUAAACACGAGUGUGUAUAGUAGGAGUUAAAUAGAAUGGGAGAGAAUAUAAAGAUGAAAAGGGAAUAACCAAGAGGCGAGGUUUGUAUGGACAAAAAAUGAUAAUGUCAUUUAGUAAAAUGCCUUUAAAGUUUAUCCAUGCUGUUGCCUGUAUCAGAAUGGCCUUUCUUUUUAAGGCUGAAUAAGGUUCCAUUAUAUGUACAAGCCACAUUUUGUGUAUCCGUUUGUGUGUUUCUGGCUACUUGAGUUGUUCCCAUUUUGGGGGGUAUUGUGGAUCAUGCUGCUGUGAGCAUUGGUGUGCAAACCAGCUGUUUUUGUGUUUCAUUGUUGUAUUCCUUAUUGCAUUGCAUGAUUUUCAGGAGGUUCAGCAUGUAUUUUUACGCUGCUGUGAUCAUUUCAGUAAGUUCUUUUGAAGCUGCAUUUUAAAAUAAUUAGAUGAUUCUCAUAAUCCAGUAAGUCUAGAAAUCACUUCCUAGAUUGGGGGCAGGAGAAUCAUUGAUGACAGGAAGAAGUGUCGUGCUUAUAAGCAGGUUAGGUACAUAAACGCCAGUUCUGUGAGCCCUCAUCUGUCAGAGCUGCUCCUGUGAACCACUGUGCAGGCAGACGGAGGAUGAAAGCCAUAGGCUAAGAUUGUCUAAUUCCCUUUCCAGGCCAACCGUAUCUUAGGACAAUCCCUCUUGGGCUCUGCUGUCAAGAAUGACAAGCUUGGCUUAGCACUUCUGUGCACCUGCUGAUGCACAAGUGAGGGAAACUCAUUCCAUGUCAGAGUAGCUAUUGGUUCUGGGUAACAUUGUAACUAACGUAAAAACUUCCAAGAGUCAUCAGUUAGUCCAAACUCAUUUCUGGUGAAUGUUUUAGAUUUGUAUCAAGGGAAUAAUGUGAGAACUCCAAGGAAUAAGUUUGAUGACAUAAGCAAACCAGAGUCCUGGGAAUAUCUUUCAGGCAAUUUGCUAGUGAACUGCUGCUUAAUCGCCUUAAAACAAUGGUAUAGUGAGUCAGGGAAAAGCAGCACAAGAUUUUAUGAUGAGAGAUAUUCCCAGGUGGCUUUAUGGAGGGAGGAAAAAAAUGUACAGACAGUUGAUGAUGCAUUUUUAUUCAUUCACUAACAUUUAUUGAGCUGCUAUUAUGUUCUAGACAGUGUAUAAAGCAGAGGAAAAGACAGAUGUGUCCCUGAGGUGUGAGCUUUCAUUCUGGUGUCGGAAACAGAUAAUAAAGAAGUAGACAAAUAUAGAUGUAUUUUCAGAGAGCAGAUUACAAAGCACCAGCUAGACCUGUUUAAACACUGUUGCCUCUCCAUACCUAUAGUUUCUGCAACCAUGGGUUCAGCCAAUUUGGAAUUGAAAAUAUUGGGAGAAAAAAAUUGCAUUAGUAUGGCACACAUACAGAAUUUUAAAAUUUUCAUUGUUCCUUAAACAAAACUCUAUAAUGGCUAUUUAUACAGCAUUUGCAAAAUGCUGAAUAUCAUAAAAAGUUUGGUGUUGAUUUAAAGUAUAUGGGAGGAUAUGCGUGGGUUAUAUGGGAAGAUGGCACCAUUUUAUAUAAGGGACUUGACCAUCUGCAGAUUGUGGUAUUCUUUGGGGGGGGGGGUGUCCUGGAACCAAUCCCCCAAGGGUAGCAAGAGAUGACAGUACUUAUUGGUGAUUGUUUAAAUUCUAUGUAAGAUUUUUGUAGAUUGUUAGGGUUAAUGGUUUAUUUCAGCUAUGCUCUUAUCUAUAAAAAUAUAAUUUACAAGCAAAUCUUCCUGGAAUUCAAUUACUUUGCAAAGUAAUGUCCACCUCUUUCCUAAAAACUGAGAUAUGCGAGUACGCAUGGGGAAGGAGAACUGAUGGUACAGUUGACGAUAUAGUUAAGUGUAAACUGAUGAGCAGAAGUCCUCCGGGCCAGGCCUGUUCAUGUGAGAGCAAACUAUUCCAUGGGCUUGUGGUCUGGAAGCUUGGGAGAUUUUGUAUCCCCACACAGGUUUCAGACUUCACCCACAAUUUCUUAAAUUGGCUUACCCACUUGUUCACUUUCUUUAGUGUUUCAUCCCUCAGAAGGGAGUGGGAGGUGAGAACACGAGGAGGGUGUGGUGUGCUUCCAGUGGGCUGCUGGUGCAUCAAGAUGGUGUGCUGGAACCAUCGGGCGGUGCUUGCAUCUGACAGGGAAGCCAGGAGUUGAUUUUAUUUAUUGUUCGGGAAAAUGUACUAAGGAAGAUUCCUGGAAGUGAGAGGUCCUUCAUUAUCUGCCCCAUUCAGUGGAAACCACGGGGCUGUUCUGGGAUCGACAGCCCCCUCCAGGUGUGAAACAUGGCUCCUUCUGGCUGUGUUCCUUUCAUUGGGUGAUUCUGAUGACAAGAUAUGGGAAGGUUUUAUUCCCUAAAUAUUCACUAAAAGAAGGAUCAACCCCAGAAAAGACAGUGCUGCCUAGAAUUUUUAAAAAGGAUUCAGCUUUACAGAGGAAAAGCAUAGAAAAUUGAAUAGUAGAAAUCAAAGAGUGUUGGUGGAAAUGAACUCACUCGUUCAGGCCAGAUAUCAUCCAGUAUGAACUAUCCAUUCUCAGAUGAUAUUUCUCCUAAAUGAUGUAUAAACUUAAAUGGAUUCUUCUUUUGACCAUAUCAAUGGAAAAUUUUAAAAGUAAGUGUGUGUGUGUGUGUGUGUGUGGCUUGCAAGCUUAUACAUUAUUAUUAUUAUUUUUUUUGGCAGUGCUGGGAAUUGAACCCAGGGCCUUGCACAUGCUAGGCUAGGCAAGUGCUUUACCACUGAGCCACACCCCCAAUUCCCUUACUCCCUUUUAAAAAAACUUUUUAUCAUUCAAACAUUAAUUUAUUUGAAGGGGCAUGAAGAAACAUUUACAAAAUGGGAACUUAGAUCCAAAAUUUACACAAUUUAAAAAAUUAACUAGUUUUUUAUGAUAGACAAAAAGGAUUGCAUUACCCUAUAAAAUAAUUCAUAAAUAACCCAUGCUAAUUUCCUCAAGUCGAGACCCCUAAGCACACAUGCAAAAACCCCUUUGCUAUAUAAUGUGAUACAGAGGUUCCUUAAUUUACAUUGGCAUUACAUCCAAAUGAACCCAUUAUGUUGAAGACAUCUUAAAUCAAAAGUGAGUUUAGGGGGCUGGGGUUGCAGCUCAGUGGUAGAGUGCUUGCCUAUCACAUGUAAGGUACUGAGUUCAAUCCUCAUCACCACAUUUUUUUAAAAAAAAGUGAGUUUAGGCCGGACAUGGUGGUGCACACCUGUAAUCCCAGUGGCUGGGGAGGCUGAGAAGGAGGAUGGUGAAUUCAAAGCCAGCCUUAGCAAAAGCAAGGCACUAAGCAACCCAGUGAGACCCUGUCUCUAAAUAAAAUACAAAAUAGGGCUGGGGAUGUGGCUCAGUGGGUGAGUGCGCCUGAGUUCCAUCCCCAGUACCCCCCCAAAAAGUGAGUUAGGGGCUGAGGAUGUGGCUCAGUGGUUGAGUGCAAGCCUAGUAUGAGCAAGGCUCCAGGGGUUCAAUCCCAGCGCCAUGCAUACAAAAAGUGCAUUUAACAAACUCUAUCCUCCUAGGCACCGCAGCUUAGCCCAGUCUGUCAGGUGGGCCCCAAAUGGAAUCACAGAUGUGUUUGUAAAGGAAGAUUUGACAGUAGAGAAGGCAGCGAUGUGAGGAGUGAAGCAAGAGGCUGCAGUUUUGGCUUUGGAGGCAAAGAAAGGGACCCCAAGCCAGAAACUCAGGGGAGGAGGGAGACAGGGCCACAGAUUGACGGAUUGUCCCCUGGAGCCUCAGAGGGAGCUGUACCCCGGCCUUGAUUUCAUACCAGUGAAACUGACUCAGGCUUUCUGGUCUCCGUAAGAGAGUCAGUCUGUGUUGUUUUAAGCCACAGUUUGUGGUCAUUUGUUCUAGCAGCUGUAACAGGUGUUCACUUGAUGCUUCAACUACAUCCCUCGUCGCUUUGGAACUCACAUGUUUUUUUCUUUUUCCAACCUUCUUUUCCCUGGCCUUCUCCUCCAUGAUCUCUUCUUCCCUGAUUUUCUUUUCCCUGAUCUUCUCCUUCCUAAUCUCGUUAUUAUAAAUUAUAAAUAAGAGCAAAACAUGUAACAGUCGUCGAAUGCUGUCAGGUACAUCGUCGUCUGUUUAUAUAAUAAAAUCCCAAUGAGGCUGGGGAUGCAGCUCAGUGCCUUGCAUACUUCAGGCCCCGGGUUCAACCCCCCGCACUGCUAAAGGGGAAAAAAAAGAGGUGUGUGUGGAAAGAAGUGCACAUGGAUUCUGUGUCCCUGCUGGACUGCAGCAGUGAGCCUGAAAGUGCGUGUUUAAAAAAGAGCCCGUUCUCAUUCACCUGCUCGUGUGCCUGCUCAUGAAGGCUGUCUUUCUUUUCCAUUGUGGAGAAAGCUGCUGCCAGCUUACAGUAUUUAAAUCUCUCAAUGAAAUUUAAAAAGUUGAAAGGAGGGGAAAAACAUCCUUGUUUAUAUAGGUCAGAAUCUAACUAUUAAUCAUACAGAGAGUUCAGAAUGAAGCUUAAGAUUUUCAGUUUCGACCUUGCUUUUAAAAUGUGAUUUAAAAUCAGAUGGUUCACAACAUUUUUCCUUCUCAUUUAUUGCUAAGCGUUGUCAGGUACUGAACCGAUCGAAAUUCACUUUUACUUUCUGAUCACAUGAAGUGGUUUCAGGGUGAUGUUUUUAAGUUUUUAAGUCUUUCUGUUCUCUUAGCACAUUGCUUGUGCUGUGUGGCCAUGUUUUCUUUUUUACACCUUGUUUUAUAGUUACCCAAGACUAUUAAUAUUGAGAUACGCAGUAGAUUCUCUUUACCUAAGAAUUUGCCACUAAAGCUUACUAUGAUGAAAGUGAAAAAUCUGUGAAUUAGAGGCUUCUCUAAUGUAUUAUUUAGGAUACCUUCUCCUGAAAUAGUCGAAAAAACUUUUAAGAACAGGGACCAUCUUAAAAAGAGUUACUGUUGGGAGGCAAAGUCUAUUUCAUUAAGAGAAACAUUGGAGGAUGUUUCUCUUAAUGAAAUAGACAGGAGUACAGUGAGCCUAGAAAUCUCAGAGCAUUGAAGAGAUUAUCAGUGAAUUAAGUAACCUGGUAGUAUCCAUGAGCCUGAAAUGUGUACACUGUGCUUGUCUCCACAGUCUUAACUACUUCCCCCAUCUUCUUCCUCCUCUUCAUCUUCUCAACUCCAGAAAGUUGAAGGAACUUAGUCAUUCUUUCAACACAUUCUUCUGGAGUGCCUAUGUGCCACAUACUCCUUGGUUUUCAAAACGUAAAACAGUCAACAAAACCUAUGAUAUUCUCUUUUUUGAGGAACCUGCUGAGUGCCUUUAGUCAAAAUCUCCAGGAUAACCUCACUAACACUGGAGCAAACCAGGAUCAUCUACCUCUCCACAUGACACAUGGAGGACAUACCACUUCUGCAGUGUCCUGCCAAGACUGCGUGAUCUGAGUCCAAUUACAAGGGAUGAUCAGACAAACCCAAAUCUAUGGGCAGCUACAGAACUCAAGGUGGAAGAAAACAAAAAAAGAUUGAGGGCCUAUUCCAGAUUAAAGGAGGUUAAAGAUUCCUACUACUGAAACACAGCACAUGAUCCAGGAUUGGGUCCUGAUUAGGAAAAAAAAAAAGCCAUAAAAGACACAUUAGGUGAUAUUUGAUAUGGAUUAUUAAAUAGAUGUUAGUAUACAUAAGCAUUGUAUUUCCAGAUUCGGAUAGUUACAUGUUAUACUUAUAUACGUACAUAAUGUAUAUAAUACAUAUAAUAAAUAUACGAUAUAUAGAGAGAACAUAUGUAUACAGAUAGAGAGACAGAUACACAUGAAACAUGGAGGAAGAAAGAAGAAAGAGGGAGAGAUUUAAAUCACAUGGGACCAAAGGUACAAUAAAAACAACUGAUGAAUAUAGACAAAGAAUAUGUAGCAAUUCCUUGAUCUAGUCUUGUAAAUUUUCUGUAAGUUUAAAUUAUAUAAAAAUAAAAUGUUAAAAAAAAAUUUCCUACUCUAGGGGAACUCAACUCUGUGUUUGGGUGGGUGAGUGGGGUGAGGUAGUGUAUCAGACCAGAUAGUAACAAAAUAAGCCAGUAAAAAACAUGUUAGAUGGUAAAUGCUACAUAAGUCAAGUAGCACAGGGACACAGGGAAAAUUUGUGUAGAGAGUGGGCAGUUUUUUUAAAAUCAAAAAAACUUAAAAAAAAUAAAAUAAAAUCAACCGAGUUUUUUAGAGAAGUUUAACUUCUAAAUAGGAAGUACAGAGUUCUGGUAGUUUGCUGGGAGCCAUUAGCCAAGUAGGUAUGACAAUUUCCUUGCCAGCGUACCCCAUGUUGCUUAGUGGAAGGACUCAUGGAAAUAGGACAUUUUGCAGUGACAUUGCAUCUAAGGUGACCUUGCUCAAGGACCAGGGCGGAUCCGGGGGUUUAGGGUGUUCCCGGUUUAGGAUAAUCCGGGUUUAGGGUGGUUCCAGGUUUAAGGUUAUUCCUGCUGGGAAUAGGGCGUAUCCUGCUGCCUGAGUUCCCCUUGAGUUCUCACGGGAUUCAGACAGUAUUUUUUGGGAGACAGAAGCCCAGUGGGGGUGGAUUUGGGCAGAGAACAUGGAUUUCCCCAGAACGUGAUUGUAGACGGCUGGUGUGAGUUCGGGAAUAAAGAGUUGCUGUUUGAAUCUACAAGCUGUGUGGUGGCUCAUGAUUUUGUGCCCAGCCAGACUGCGGCAGUAGUUCUCUCCCCCAAACACCAUGUCCAUAUUAUUAAUAUCUAGAAUUAGUGGGAUCAUUUGUUGGAAUUGGUGAAUAAAUGAUGAUACAUAAUUAUUAACUAAAGCCUCCAUUUGCAUUUGGCUUCACUCUCCUGUUGUACAGUUCUAUGGAUUUGGCCGUAUGCAUGAUGUUAAUUAUCCACUAUUGUAAUAUCCUAUGAAUAGUCUCACUGCUUUGAAACCCCUUUCUCUACCUAGUCACCUCUCCCUUCCUUUUAACCAUUGAUCACCAUCAAUCUCUCUCUCUCUCUUUUUUUUCUAUUUCUCUACUUUUGCCUUUUCUAGAGUGUCAUACAGCUGGAUCAUUCAGCAUGUAGCCUGUCAGACUGGUUUCCUUAAUUUGGAAAUAUGCAUUAAAGUUUCCUCCAUGGCAUUUUAUGGCUUGAUAGUUUGUUCCUUUUGAUCACUGAAUACUACCGUAUUAUACAAACGGACCUCAGUUUGUUUAUCCGCUUACCUAUUGAGAGACAUCGUGGUUGCUUCCAAGUUUUUGGCAGUUAUGAAUAAAGUCGCUGUAAACGUUCAUAUGUAGGUUUUAGUGUAGACAUAAGUCUUCAACUCAUUUGUGUGAAUAACCAGCAGCCAUUGCUGGGUCAUAUGGUCUCUGUGUGUUUAGUUUUGGAGUUACCUGCCAAACUGUCUUCCAAAGGGGCAGAGCCAUUUUGCACUUCUCCCAGCAAUAAACGAAAGUUCCUCUUGUCCUGUGUCCUUUGCAGCAUUUGGUGUGGUCAAGAAAAUGGAAAUUAAUUUGAUUUUUAUUUUAGCCAUUCUGAGGGCAUAUAGUGGGGUCUCAUUUUAAUUGCAAUGCCCUGAUGACAUUCCACAUCUUCACACAUAUUCACCAUCUGUACUUCUUUGGCAUGAUGUGCAUUGAGAUCUUUUUCUCAUCUUGUUCAGAUGUUUUGCUACUUGAGGAUUAUAAUUUUAAGCAGUACACAGGGAAGGUCUUAUUAAAGCUUUUGAAUAAAGAUCUGAGAGAAGUAAGGGAACAUGCUAUUUGGAACUCUAGGGAAAGAACAUUCCAGACAGAAGGGAAGACACCUGCAAACACCCCUGAUCAAGAGUGUGCUCGGUGUGUUCCAGGAUAGUAGGUGGGCACCGUGCCAUGAGGAGGUGGCAGGGGAGAGCGUAGGGAGAGGAGGCUAGAGAGGCAUGGAGGGAGGAUUGUCCCACUCACAUGACCUUGUGGACCCUCAGGCCUUGGCUUUCAUUGGAUGAGGCAGGAAGUCAGAGGAUCUUAAGCAGAACUGGAUGCAAUCUGACGUAGGUUUCAUAGGAUCAUCCUGGUUGCUGCGUUGACAGUGGACCAAAGGUGAGCAGGUGAAAAGGCAAAGACUGGAAUACCAGGCCAGCAGUAACAGUGACAAAGCCCAGAGUGGUCCCGAGAGGAAAGAGUAGAAAUGACUGGAUACAGAUCUUGUAUAAGAGGGAUUUGCUAAUGGAUUCAGUGUGGGGUGUGAUAGACCACAAAGAAAUCAAAGAUAGUUCACAGUUCCCCCCCUAAGCAAUUGAAAGAAUCACACGAUCACAUUCUGUUAUCACAGAUGGGUACAGGGUCCUCUUCCCCCUUUCUCUUCAUUCCUGAUCCCAGUUCUCCUUUCUUCUGUCUCCCUCUUUGGCAUCUACCUGAAUCCUUGAGAACUACUGCUUAGGGUAUUUUAUUUUUAAAAUAUAUAUAUUUGGUUAUAGAUGGACACAAUACCUUUAUUUUGCUUAUUUGGUUUUUUUAUGUGGUGCUAGGGAUUGAACCCAGUGCUUCACAUGUGCUAGGCAAGUGCUCUACCCUGAGCUACAACCCCACCCAACUUAGUUUACAUUGGUACUGUGCUAUACAUUUUGUUUCAUAUAUAUAUAUGUAUAUAUAUAUAUUUCCUUUUGACAUUAAGUCUUCAAGAACUAACCAUAUAGCUGGAUGUUGUAGGUUCAUUAAUUUUGACUGUUGCCUGAUUUUCCACCAAAUUCAUCUGUCACAUGCGACAAAGUUAUAUCCUUGAUCAUGAGCCCCUAAGCUGCUUCCAACUCCCUGCUACUGCAAACAAUGCUUAAGCACACACCCUCAUUCGUAUUCCUGUAAUGACUUGCAUGCAAGCUUCUCUAGGGUUCAUUCCUAGGAGUGAGUGGGAUUGCUGGGACAUAUUUAGUUGUGUAAAUAUAGCCGUCCCUUGUUAUCUGUGGGAAGCUGGUUCCAAGACCCUCUGUGGAUACCAAAGUCCACAGAUGCUCAUGUCCCUGAGAUAAAUGUCACAGUAUUUGCAUGUCACCUACACAUCCUCCCAUAUAUUCUAAAUGAUCUCCGGAUUACUUACAACACCUAAUAUAAUGUAAAUGCUAUAUAAAUGUUGUUAAGUGUGUGCAUAUAUAGACCUACACAUGUACGUGUAUAUGUUGUUUAGGGGAUAAUGACGGUAACAAAAAGCCUGUAAGAUGAUUCUUUUAAAAUAUUUUUGGGUCGUCGUUGGGCCAGCCAUGGAUGUGGAGUCCGCGUGAAGGGGGCUGGCCAUGGGGGUUUGCUGUCCUGGGGGCUUCCUCACCUCAGUUUUAGAUGAGCAGUAUUUGAGAGCACCUUUUCCCCAAGAUCCCUACCAAUUCUUUUUUUGUAUCUUUUUCUUUUUUGUACUGAGAAUUGAACCCAGGGGUACUUAGCAGCUGAGCCAUACCCCAAGCCCUUUUUUAUAUUUUAUUUAGAGACAGGGUCUUUCAGAGUUGCUUAUGGCCUUGCUAAGUUGCUGAGGCUGGUUUUGAACUAGCAAUCCUCCUGCCUCAGCCUCCCAAGCAGCUGGGAUUACAGGUGUGCACCACUGUGCCUGGCCCCUACCAGUUCUUUUUUUUUAAAUUUUUUUUUUUUGUAGUUGUAGUUGGACAGCAUACCUUUAUAUUAUUUGCUUAUUUUUUGUAUGUGGUGCUUAGGAUUUAACCCAGUGCCUCACAUGGGCUAGGCAAGUGCUUGGCUACUGAGCCACAACCCCAGGCCCUUACCAAUUCUUGAUAUUGUUGAACCUUCAGAUGUUUGUGAAGUGGUAUUUCACUGUCACUUUAACUUAUGCUUUUUGAUUACUGGGGAGCUUAAGCAUUUUUCCUUAGAUUAGAGAGACAUUCAGAUUCUUCUAUGAUUGGUCAUUUCAUCCUUCCUUUAGUUUUCUGUUAAUUUAUCGCCUUUCACUUAUUGAUAUAAAGAAAUUGUCUGUAUUUUCUGUGGAAUAAUUCCGGAGCUUUGGAGGUGAUAAAUAUCUUCUCUCAGCUGUCACCUGUCUGCCAUCCGCGGCAUCCUCCUUGGCCAGUCCUGUGCCCGGUGUCUAAAGCCACAGUCCUCCCCGCCAUGGUGUGCUCUUCAGACAGUCCGCACUGCUCCUGUAUUCCAUGGCCACAAAGCGUGCUCCCAGGCUUCCUUGUCCCCAGAUUCCCUUGUCCCUCCCUUACAGAUUGAAGUAGGCGAUCCACCAAGGUUUGCAGUUUAUGAGCCGAAGCAGGGUUUUCUCCAGGCACCAGUUUUCCUAAACAUUCACUGGAUAAUGUGUCCUUUCUUCAUCGGCAAGGUGCCACCUCCAUUGGGUAUGAGUUUCCACAUGCUUGUGGCUCGGCUUUGGGACUCCCUGUUUUGCACCAUUAACCUGUUUGUAGCUGGUCCAGUAUUUGAUUAUUUUCUUUGCUGUGGAUUUGUGGUUUAUCUUAAUAUCUACAGGAAAGUCUUCCAUUUAUCCUUCUUUGUCAUCAAUAUCAUCUUAUCUAUCUGUGUCUUUAUCACAGUUCCCUCAAAAGAUGUGCUAGAAUUUUGGCUGAAAAUGUAUGAUAAAUAUGUUAUUUUUAGAGGAACCUAUAGAUUUUUACUGUUAAGCAGUUUCACAUGAACAUGGUAUGUCCAUCUUUUCUGGCUUUCUUUUAUGUCUUGAAUAGGGUCUUUAAUAGGUCAGACUAUAUUUAGGAUCCUUGAGUAUGGAAAUUAUUAGAGAUGUGCAUAAAGUUGUAUUUACAAAUGUGAAUUGAAUAUUUGGAAACUGUCUACAUGUGCAAUAAUAGAAGAAUGUUUAAGUGUGGAAAGUAGACAGAGGUGUGUAUUAAUAGAAAGUCACAUUAAAAUCAUGCCUUCAUUGAUUCUUUGGUACAUGAGAAAAUAUUGUUGCUAUACCGUUAUAUCAUUAGUCAGUGAGAUUACAAGGGUUUAAAGUCUUUAUUAAAAUAUUAUAAUUUUGGAGUAUGUCCCAAAUUUUCUGAAGUGAACAUACUCUAUUUUUAUGAUUCUUUUUUCUUUACAGAAGUUGUUGGGAGUAAGUAAGUUUUGUUUGUUUGUUUUUAUACAUUCUCAAUUCAUUCUGACUUGUAUUUAGGAAAGCAACUUUGUUAAGUUCAUUUUCACUCUAGUAAUUUUUGGUCAGUUCACACGUGUUUUCCAGGUAUUGCCAUUUCAUUUUGCAGAAAUUUUUUUUUAAUUAUUUAUUUUUGCUUCCACCAUUAUAUUUAUAUAUCUCAUUCCUUUUGAGACUGCAACAAGCAUUUCCAUCAUCAGGACAGUAAGGAGAGAGGGAGGUCCAAGUGAAAGGAUAUCUUUGUAGAAAAAGUAGACUCUUGGGGGCAAGUAAGUUUGUGUUUGCUCUCUGUCUCUGUACAGGAGCAUUGGGAGAACAGAAUCUGAAUCGUCUAAUGAACUCCUCAAGGAAUGCAUGAAGACUCACAUGCAUAUCCCCUGGCUGACUAGCAACGCUUCCAUCUGCUGGACUCCUCACAGUCAUGUGGGCCCCGGGAUUCAACUAAGCAUGAGUAAAGGUAAUUUCACAGUUUGCGUUUUCAUGGAACAGAUAUUUGAAAAUCUGCUUCUAUGUUCAGAGCACUGUAUGUUCUAGAGGCAUCAAAGAUAAAGGGAUGAAGAAAACUGCCUCAGCCUGCGGGGGCUUAAUAGGACACAGAGCAGGACUUGGCCUUACCCCCACCUGGCCGACUCUCAAUAUUUCUGAACUCCGCCAUCCCAGAAUUUACUCUCAGUUUUCUCAUGCUGUUCCCUCACUUGGAAUUCCUUUUCCUCCUUAUCCACACGCUGCGUAUUCCUCACAGGUAUAUGUGACAUCUCUGGUUCUCUGACUUCCUCUGACAUUUCACCAGUACUUUAAAUGUAGCUCAGACUUGGCACAUUCUUAGUGCUACUUUGUAUUUUCAGUCGUUUUUCCCAAAAGCAAAGUAGCAUGAUUACUAUCUGCAUUAGCUCCUGCAUUUCUGAUCUUAAAGGACAGGAAAAAUGGAUAUUUAAUGUUGAGAGCCACAGUUUAGUCAGAUGACACCUGGCAUUUUUGCCAGAGGGAAUGGUUGAAAGAUGACCCU